CGGGGUGCAGCAGGCGCGAAAACUCCACAAUGUACGGAAGUACGAUGGGGUUAUCUCGAGUGCAGUCCGAUAAGGGCUGCUUUUCCAUAGAGUAAUAUCCUGUGGGAAUAAGAGGGGGGCAAGACUGGUGUCAGCCGCCGCGGUAACACCAGCCCCUCGAGUGGUGGGGACUAUUAUUUGGCCUAAAGCGUCCGUAGCUGGCUGUAUCCGUCCCCCGUUAAAUCCAGCGUCCUAAGCGUUGGACUGCGGGUGAUACCAUACAGCUAGAGGGUGGGAUAGGUGAGCGGUAUUUCUGGGGUAGGGGCGAAAUCCUUUGAUCCCAGGAGGACCACCAGUGGCGAAGGCUGCUCACUAGAACACGCCUGACGGUCAGGGACGAAAGCUGGGGCAGCGAACCGGAUUAGAUACCCGGGUAGUCCCAGCUGUAAACGAUGCUAGCUAGGUGUUGGGUCGGCCACGUGCCGCCCCAGUGCCGCAGGGAAGCCGUUAAGCUAGCCGCCUGGGGAGUACGGCCGCAAGGCUGAAACUUAAAGGAAUUGGCGGGGGAGCACAAGGGCGAUUCGC
rnacentral:rRNA from 1 species